rnacentral:rRNA from 1 species
UACGGAGGAUGCGAGCGUUAUCCGGAUUUAUUGGGUUUAAAGGGUGCGUAGGCGGCCUGCCAAGUCAGCGGUAAAAUUGCGGGGCUCAAUCCCGUACAGCCGUUGAAACUGCCGGGCUCGAGUGGGCGAGAAGUAUGCGGAAUGCGUGGUGUAGCGGUGAAAUGCAUAGAUAUCACGCAGAACCCCGAUUGCGAAGGCAGCAUACCGGCGCCCUACUGACGCUGAGGCACGAAAGUGCGGGGAUCAAACAGG